rnacentral:lncRNA from 1 species
GGGGCGUAACUCCUAGAAAAUAAAUUGAAUCGCAAUUUCCCGUCGAUAUGCACAACUACAUAGUAUGUCCUUAUUAUCUGAAAAGGUUUCGUGAAAUUCUGUUGUGUGGUUUGAGAGGAGUUGCGAUGACAAACUGUUGCAGUAGUACAUUAAAGUAAAUAAGUUCAAAGGGGCGUAACUCCUAGAAAAAAAAUUGAAUCGCAAUUUCCCGUCAAUAUGCACAACUACAUAGUAUGUCCUUAUUAUCUGAAAAGGUUUCAUGAAAUUCUGAUGCAUGGUUUGAAAGGAGUUGUGAUGACAAAAAACAGGACUGACGGACAGACGAACAGGUCAAAAACAUUAUACCCUCCGCAACUCGUUGCAUGGGGUAUAAUUAACAUUUCAAUAUUAUAAAUGAACACGAAUAAUUACAAUAUCAUAAUGUAAGGGGAAAAUUUACACUUUCAUUUAAGACAGAAACCGUCUAAAAUUUACCAAAAAAUCUAAAAUUUUGAAGAUUUCAGUAAUUUAGCAUAACUUAAUGAUGCUACAUGUAGUACCUGAUAUAUGCAUUGUAUUGUCAAAAACAUCCUAUAUUUAUUUAGCAGAAGCAUGCUACUUUCCAAUAAAUAGCUUAAGGAUUACAUUUUCACAAUUUUGUAAAACUGCUAUAUUUUGUGGCCAAAAAGGGGUCUUACUGAAUCUACUCCUUUGUAAUGAAAAAAUAAAUGUUUAUUUUUCUCUUAAAUUUUUAUACAUGUACCCUCGAGCCUCCUUAUUGUAACUUAUAGUAGUUUCUGGUUUUAUCAUUGUUGCAGGCCAUACAGUGACCUAAAGUUGUUAAUUUCUAAUGUAAUUGUGUCUAUUGUCUAGAGACAAGAUUUGUCUCAUUGGCAAUCAUACAGUAUACCAUAUUUUCUUUUUAAUUUGUUGACUUAAUAUUCUGAAUAUUUCAACACCUAUUCACAUAUUUUUAAACUAGAAAUCAAUGGUGGAUCUAGAAAUUUUCAUAAGAGGGGGCCCUUUUACUGCCUAAGAGGGGGUCCCUACUUGAGUCAUUCCCUAUACAAUCAACUAAAUUUUUCUAACAAAAGGUGUUGUCAGACCGGGCCACCUGAUUCUGCCUAUCUAGAAACAUAAUAGUGAGUUGUCUCAUUGGCAAUCAUACAGUGUACCACAUUUUCUUUUUAAUUUGUUGACUUAAUAUAUUUCUUAAUAUUUUCAACACCUAUUCACAUAUUUUUAAACUAGAAAACAAUGGCGGAUCUAGAAAUUUUCAUAAGAGGGGGCCCAUAGACUGCCCAAGAGGGGGUCCCCACUUCAGUCUUUUCCCCUUACAUUAUGAUAUUGUAAAGUCAAUUGUAAAAUACUGGUAUAGAUUUGAAAAUCUUACAACUGAAUUCAUAUGUUGAAAUCAUAAUCUUUCAGUCAGUUUAAUUGAAGUCUGGAGCUGGCAUGUCAGUUAACUGCUAGUAGUCUGUUGUUAUUUA